UACGUAGGUCCCGAGCGUUGUCCGGAUUUAUUGGGCGUAAAGCGAGCGCAGGUGGUUUAUUAAGUCUGGUGUAAAAGGCAGUGGCUCAACCAUUGUAUGCAUUGGAAACUGGUAGACUUGAGUGCAGGAGAGGAGAGUGGAAUUCCAUGUGUAGCGGUGAAAUGCGUAGAUAUAUGGAGGAACACCGGUGGCGAAAGCGGCUCUCUGGCCUAUAACUGACACUGAGGUUCGAAAGCGUGGGUAGCAAACAGG
rnacentral:rRNA from 1 species